UGAGGAAUAUUGCGCAAUGGGGGAAACCCUGACGCAGCAACGCCGCGUGGGUGAAGAAGGCCUUCGGGUUGUAAAGCCCUGUCAGGUGGGAAGAAACCUCGAUAGGUGAAUAGUCUAUCGAACUGACGGUACCACCAAGGGAAGCACCGGCUAACUCCGUGCCAGCAGCCGCGGUAAGACGGAGGGUGCAAGCGUUAUUCGGAAUUACUGGGCGUAAAGAGCGUGUAGGCGGUUUGGUAAGCCGAGUGUGAAAGCCCGAGGCGCAACUUCGGAAG
rnacentral:rRNA from 1 species